GGAAUCGCUAGUAAUCGCGGAUCAGCAUGCCGCGGUGAAUACGUUCCCGGGCCUCGUACACACCGCCCGUCACACCAUGAGAGUUUGUAACACCCAAAGCCGGUGGGGUAACCUUUUGGAGCCAGCCGUCUAAGGUGGGACAGAUGAUUGGGGUGAAGUCGUAACAAGGUAUC
rnacentral:rRNA from 1 species